rnacentral:rRNA from 1 species
CCUACGGGUGGCAGCAGUGGGGAAUCUUGCGCAAUGGGCGAAAGCCUGACGCAGCGACGCCGCGUGGGGGAUGAAGGUCUUCGGAUCGUAAACCUCUGUCAGCAGGGAAGAACGGUCGCUGUGCUAACUAGCAGUGUUUUGACGGUACCUGCCCAGGAAGCACCGGCUAACUCCGUGCCAGCAGCCGCGGUAAUACGGAGGGUGCGAGCGUUAAUCGGAAUUACUGGGCGUAAAGCGCACGUAGGCGGUCUGUCAAGUCUAGUGUGAAAUCCCCGGGCUCAACGUGGGAAGUGCCUUGGAAACUGGCAAACUGGAGUGGGUGAGAGGAGAGUGGAAUUCCAGGUGUAGGGGUGAAAUCCGUAGAUAUCUGGAGGAACAUCAGUGGCGAAGGCGACUAUCUGGCACAUAACUGACGCUGAGGAGCGAAAGCGUGGGUAGCAAACAGGAUUAGAUACCCCUGUAGUC